CCCAGUAACAGAGAUACCCCAGAGAGAUGUCCCUGUCCUCUGUAUUCCCAGGAUUGUACAGAGGAGAAUCACAGGAUCCCACAGGAGGAUCAGGUAGAACGUGUGUCUGAUAUUAAAUUAGAAGAUAUAGAGGGAGAAGAAGAGACGUAUGUGACUGAUAUAAAGGCAGAAGAUACAGAGGGAGAAGAAGAGAUGUAUCUAACUGUUAUAAAGGUAGAAGAUAUAGAGGGAGAAGAAGAGACGUAUCUGAGAGGUGAUCAGCAGUGUAAGGAGGAGGAAAUUCCUACAGAUAUCAGCACAGAUGGACACACAAGCAGGAAUAUCUCAGAAGGACAUCUAAUGUUAUCCCCGGAUUGUGACAUAAAAGAUAAUGACAGUAGACCGGAUUCUC